rnacentral:rRNA from 1 species
AGGACGAACGCUGGCGGCGUGCUUAACACAUGCAAGUCGAGCGGAAAGGCCCUUCGGGGUACUCGAGCGGCGAACGGGUGAGUAACACGUGAGCAACCUGCCCCUGGCUCUGGGAUAGCUCCGGGAAACCGGGAUUAAUACCGGAUAUGACCCCCUUCUGCAUGGUGGGGGGUGGAAAGUUUUUCGGCUGGGGAUGGGCUCGCGGCCUAUCAGCUUGUUGGUGGGGUGAUGGCCUACCAAGGCGACGAC